rnacentral:rRNA from 1 species
CCUACGGGACGCAGCAGUGGGGAAUAUUGCACAAUGGGGGAAACCCUGACCCAGCAACGCCGCGUGAAGGAAGAAGGCUUUCGGGUUGUAAACUUCUUUUCUCAGGGACGAAGCAAGUGACGGUACCUGAGGAAUAAGCCACGGCUAACUACGUGCCAGCAGCCGCGGUAAUACGUAGGUGGCAAGCGUUAUCCGGAUUUACUGGGUGUAAAGGGCGUGUAGGCGGGGACGCAAGUCAGAUGUGAAAAACACGGGCUCAACCUGUGGCCUGCAUUUGAAACUGUGUUUCUUGAGUAAUGGAGAGG